rnacentral:misc_RNA from 1 species
GGCCAGUGUUGAGAGGCGG